rnacentral:rRNA from 1 species
AUGCAAGUCGAACGGGAUAGAACUUAGCAAUAGGUUCUUGAGAGUGGCGCACGGGUGCGUAACACGUAUGCAACCUACCUUUAACUGGGGGAUAGCCUCUCGAAAGAGAGAUUAAUACCCCAUAGUAUAACUGAAGAGCAUUUUUUGGUUAUUAAAGAUUUAUCGGUUAAAGAUGGGCAUGCGGCUGAUUAGGUAGUUGGUGAGGUAAUGGCUCACCAAGCCAACGAUCAGUAGGGGGUCUGAGAGGAUGUCCCCCCACACUGGUACUGAGACACGGACCAGACUCCUACGGGAGGCAGCAGUAGGGAAUAUUGGACAAUGGGGGCAACCCUGAUCCAGCCAUUCCGCGUGCAGGAAUAAGGCCCUAUGGGUCGUAAACUGCUUUUGUAUGGGAAAAAAUCAUCUUACGUGUAGGAUGUUGAUGGUACCAUGAGAAUAAGGAUCGGCUAACUUCGUGCCAGCAGCCGCGGUAAUACGAAGGAUCCAAGCGUUGUCCGGAUUUACUGGGUUUAAAGGGUGCGUAGGCGGGGAAUUAAGUCAGUGGUGAAAGCUGGUAGCUCAACUAUCAAAUUGCCAUUGAAACUGAUUCUCUCGAGUACGGUUGAGGUAGCUGGAAUGUAACAUGUAGCGGUGAAAUGCUUAGAUAUGUUACAGAACACCGAUUGCGAAGGCAGGCUACUAAACCGUAACUGACGCUGAGGCACGAAAGCGUGGGGAUCAAACAGGAUUAGAUACCCUGGU